UACGAAUGGGGCAAGCGUUGUUCGGAAUCACUGGGCUUAAAGCGUACGCAGGCGGCCAUGCAAGUCAGAAGUGAAAUCCCUGGGCUUAACCCAGGAAUUGCUUUUGAAACUACGUGGCUAGAAUCCGGGAGAGGUUGGCGGAAUUCCGAGUGUAGCAGUGAAAUGCGCAGAUAUUCGGAGGAACACCAGUGGCGAAGGCGGCCAACUGGACCGGCAUUGACGCUCAUGUACGAAAGCGUGGGUAGCAAACAGG
rnacentral:rRNA from 1 species